rnacentral:lncRNA from 1 species
UUUCUCAUCUUUUUAAAUAGGAAUUAAACCACCUUUAGCAUCUAAUAAUUAUAAGAAUGCCUAUAGUAUCUAAUAAUAAAAUUAUACCUUUAGUGUCUAACAAUUAGAAUACCUGUAGUGUCUAAUAAUAAAAGUAAUACUGGUAGAAUCUAGUGAUAAUACCCCUAAUAAUUUCUGUUUUUUUUUGUUGUUGUUGUUGGUGGUGUUCAGUCAUUUUAGUGGCUUGAUUUUUUGUGAUCCCUUUGGCUAUUAGAGUUGUUUGCCAUUUCUUUUUUCAGCUCAUUUUAUGGAAGAGAAAACUGAGGCAAAGAAGGUUAAGUGAUUUAACCAGGGUCUCACAGCUAAGUUCAGAGGAAGAAGAGAUGGCUUCCAGAGGGGAGAAUCAGAUGAAUUUAAAGCAAGUCAAAAGAUCAAUUCAUCAGCAUGUAAAAAAGAAGGAGCCAUCAGGACCAGGAAGAUUUAACCCUUUCUGACAUUCCUGUACUGGUUCCCAUAUCAGGACUGUUCACCUGGAGCUCACUGGCUGUCUUCAAUCAAAGGUGAGAUAUUCUUCAUUUUCCCUGACCAGGUCAGAGUAAAGAAUUCUUAUUCUGAAUUUUUAGUAUAGUUUGAGAUUGAGUGAUCCUUUUAGUAAGGAAUAACACAGAGUGACAUUUGCUUACCAAAGAUAAUAUCUGCUAUUUUGUGUUCAGCUUAGAGUCCAAAUGGAACAGCAUUUUUCUUUGUGUGGCAUGGAUCCCCUCUGGCAGACUACUGAAGCCCAUGCACCCUUUGUAGAAUAAUGUUUUUUUUUAAGUAUAAAAUAAAAUAGAGAUAUCCCUUUUACA